AUUGAACGCUGGCGGAAUGCUUUACACAUGCAAGUCGAACGGUAGAGGGGGGCAACCCCUUGAGAGUGGCGAACGGGUGAGUAAUAUAUCGGAACGUGCCCAGUCGUGGGGAUAACGUAGCGAAAGUUACGCUAAUACCGCAUACGAUCUAAGGAUGAAAGCGGGGGAUCGCAAGACCUCGCGCGAUUGGAGCGGCCGAUAUCAGAUUAGGUAGUUGGUGGGGUAAAGGCUCACCAAGCCAACGAUCUGUAGCUGGUCUGAGAGGACGACCAGCCACACUGGAACUGAGACACGGUCCAGACUCCUACGGGAGGCAGCAGUGGGGAAUUUUGGACAAUGGGGCGCAAGCCUGAUCCAGCAAUGCCGCGUGCAGGA
rnacentral:rRNA from 1 species